rnacentral:rRNA from 1 species
GUCGUGGAGAGGGAAACAACCCAGACCGCCAGCUAAGGUCCCAAAGUAUUGCUAAGUGGGAAACGAUGUGGGAAGGCUCAGACAGCUAGGAUGUUGGCUUAGAAGCAGCCAUCAUUUAAAGAAAGCGUAAUAGCUCACUAGUCGAGUCGGCCUGCGCGGAAGAUGUAACGGGGCUAAGCAAUACACCGAAGCUGCGGCAAUGUCUUUUAGA